GGUUAAGUGAAUAAGGG
rnacentral:rRNA from 1 species